rnacentral:rRNA from 1 species
AGAGUUUGAUCCUGGCUCAGGAUGAACGCUGGCGGCGUGCCUAAUACAUGCAAGUCGAACGAAUCUCUUUUAGAGAUGAGUGGCGAACGGGUGAGUAAUACAUAGGUAACCUGCCCCUGUGCGGGGGAUAACAGGAGGAAACUCCUGCUAAUACCGCAUAGCCAUGAGCACCGCAUGGAGCUCAUGCCAAAUAUCCUUUCGGGGAUAGCGCAGGGAUGGACCUAUGGCGCAUUAGCUAGUUGGCGGGGCAACGGCCCACCAAGGCAACGAUGCGUAGCCGGCCUGAGAGGGCGGACGGCCACAUUGGGACUGAGACACGGCCCAGACUCCUACGGGAGGCAGCAGUAGGGAAUUUUCGGCAAUGGGGGAAACCCUGACCGAGCAACGCCGCGUGAGCGAAGAAGGCCUUCGGGUCGUAAAGCUCUGUUGUAAAGGAAGAACGGCGCAUACAGGAAAUGGUAUGCGAGUGACGGUACUUUACCAGAAAGCCACGGCUAACUACGUGCCAGCAGCCGCGGUAAUACGUAGGUGGCGAGCGUUAUCCGGAAUCAUUGGGCGUAAAGAGGGAGCAGGCGGCCGCAAGGGUCUGUGGUGAAAGACCGAAGCUAAACUUCGGUAAGCCAUGGAAACCGGGCGGCUAGAGUGCGGAAGAGGAUCGUGGAAUUCCAUGUGUAGCGGUGAAAUGCGUAGAUAUAUGGAGGAACACCAGUGGCGAAGGCGACGGUCUGGGCCGCAACUGACGCUCAUUCCCGAAAGCGUGGGGAGCAAAUAGGAUUAGAUACCCUAGUAGUCCACGCCGUAAACGAUGGUCACUAAGUGUCGGGGGUCAAACCCCGGUGCUGCAGUCAACGCAAUAAGUGACCCGCCUGAGUAGUACGUUCGCAAGAAUGAAACUCAAAGGAAUUGACGGGGGCCCGCACAAGCGGUGGAGCAUGUGGUUUAAUUCGA